AAUUAAGAUUUUAUUUUUUAUUUAAGUUUUUUAUUUUUAAUAAAAAUAAUUUUUUUUUUAGUUUAUUUUUAAAAAAAUUAUUUUAAUUAUAGUUUAUUGUACUGUAUAGGAUUAAUUUUUAUUAUAUAAAAGUAUUUUUAUUUUAAAUUACCUUUUGUAUCAGGGUUUAUUAAUUUAUUUUAAUUAAUUUGAUUUUCCCGAAAUUAAAGGAUUUAUUUUAUAAUGAUUUUGUUUGUGUCAAAACCUUUUUUUAUUAUAAUAUAGUGGUGAUAUGCUUUUCAUUUUUAAAUAUCUGGUUUUUUAAUAAUUGAAUUUAAUUCAGCUUUAAUUGGUUUUUAAAUAAUUUUAUUUAGUAAAAUACAUUAUUGUACUAUUGUGAGGGAUAAGCUUUGCAGUUAUUUUAUAAUAUUCAUAUUAAUGAAUUUUUAUAGGCUUAUAAAUAGCUAUUAUUUAUUUUGUUAUAAUUAAUUUUCUUAUUAAUUUGAUUUAUUUUUAUUUAAAUUUUUAUUAAAAAGAUUUUUUUAAUUUUUUAAAAAUUAAUAUAAUGAUGAAAUUAGUAUUUUUAUAUUUAAAAUAUAGGAAUUCGGCAAAUAUUACUUUCGCCUGUUUAACAAAAACAUGUCCUUUUGUAAUUUAUAUAAGGUCUAACCUGCUCAAUGAUUUAUUAAAUGGCCGCGGUAUUUUAACCGUGCAAAGGUAGCAUAAUCAUUUGUCUUUUAAUUGAAGGCUGGAAUGAAUGGUUGGACGAGAAGUAUACUUUCUUUAUUUUAUAAUAAUGAAUUUAAUUUUUUAGUUAAAAAGCUAAAAUUAUUUUAUGGGACGAGAAGACCCUAUAGAACUUUAUUUUUAUUAAAAUAAUUAUUUAUUAGUUUAUAUUUAAAUAAUUAUGAAAAUAUAAAUUAUGUUGGGGUGAUAGGAAAAUUAUUUUAACUUUUCUUAAUUUUAUUCUCACUAAUUAGUGAUUUAUUGAUCCAAAAGUUUUGAUUAAAAGUUUAAGUUACCUUAGGGAUAACAGCGUUAUUUAAUUGGAGAGUUCAUAUCGAUAAUUAAGUUUGCGACCUCGAUGUUGAAUUAAGAUUAGUUUUGGGUGUAUCAGUUCAUUAUACUAGGUCUGUUCGACCUUUAAAUUCUUACAUGAUUUGAGUUCAGACCGGCGUGAGCCAGGUCGGUUUCUAUCUUUAAAUUUUUAUAAUAUCUUAGUACGAAAGGACCAUUUAUUAAAAUUAAUAUUUUAAUAUUUUUGAUUAAUAUU
rnacentral:rRNA from 1 species